UAGUUCAGCUGGUUAGAAUGCCGGAUUGUGAUUCCGGAGGUCGUGGGUUCAAGCCCCAUCAGCCACCCCA
rnacentral:tRNA from 1 species